UUUUUUUUUUCAGGACUAACCUCCAACCAAUUCCAGUCGAGGAAGCAAACCUCAAACAAAUUUAACCCUUGAAAUCCACCCCUACGACUCUACCACAGAGUCUAGGCUUCACUGCAGGACUGUCUUGCACAGACACUUAAAAGAUUUCUUCGUGAAGUGAAAGCACUAAGCCUCCCAAAUCAUCACCAUCAUUUCUCUUGUCAAUCACGGGGUGCUGGGACAGCGAUUCACCUACGAACUCCUUACUCGCCAACAUCAUACUUCACAUUUAAAAACUUACUGUGCGAAAAGGGAAAAAGAGAAGUCACCUUCUCCACAAGGACACCUGCCUCGCCUCUUCAGUGUCUCUAUAAGGAUAGCGGAGCCAGAAAGGCUAACAGAUACUCCCCAGCUUAAAGUUUCCCUCCCUACUAAACUCUUUGGCCACAGCACCUCGGCUUGUCCUUGUCACACACAGGGUGUAUUGUCAAUCCCUCCGUCUCCCUCUAAUAUCACCACACUAGAGGGUGUCUGGCCCAUGGGAGUGACUGCUUUUUAAAAAAUGCAUAUGCAAAUAAUAUUAAAGGAACCACCGCUGAUGUGUGGUAAGGACGGAGGACCCCGGUGUCCAGUUUCUCUGAGUCUCUUCCAAGCGACUAUGGAGAGCUCAAGAUCCAUCACUGACCAUUAGCCAGCCCUACCUACAAUCGUCGGGCCAACGUGUAUUACUUGUCUUUCUAGGUCCUUUCAGCAGAACCUUGCAAAGGGACCAAAUCCCAGCCGCAAGAGGAAAAUCUCCUUUAUCCGCCCAUUCCUACCUCAGAAGCCCUAGUCCCAAGGGGAGAAAGGCAAGUGCAGCCAGGCUAGGCAAAGGGGCCGUCGAAAGCUGCACCCACAGAAAAGCACGCCUCGGUCGCCCCCAUUUAGCUGUCCCGGCGAACAAGAUUCA
rnacentral:lncRNA from 1 species